ensembl:lncRNA
CUCCGUUAUUUAAACCGGAUCAUCCAAAGCGACCGUGCCCGGUCUCGCUAACGAGGCAGGGGCUGUUCGGGGGGCCGCUCCCACGGCCCCCGAGGUGCUUCGUGAACCCGAACGCUCUCGGCGAACUGGGAAACGUGUUCCCAGCUGCAUUUGAGCUCCCAGAUCCCCCUAAAUCGGGCAUCAAAGUUGUGAGAAAGCACUUCUUCCAAGCGGGAGCGCGUACCCAGCAGCCUGCGGUGAUGCCCACUGUCCCCGCGUGCCGUCCCAACCCACCUCCCGUGUCACCGCAACACUUUACACCGCCGCCGCUUUCCUAGACCGGAGCUAUUGAAUUUUCCUUUUAGUCCCUGCCCUUACGGAAGCGGCUGCAGCAACAGAUCAUCUGGGUUUAAUAAGUGUUCACAACACCCCUGCUGCUCCGGAGAAGCGCCGGGGUAGGAGUCGGCUGUGCCCGUGCUUCUGGAUCCCGGCAGAGGACACGGCGACGGGAGAGCGUGGCCUGCGACGUGCUGCGGGUCCGGGGAGGGUGGGGUGACGGGGAGAGCCAUCAGGUGGGGGCUGCAAAGCACACGUAUGUCCGCGCACACCUACAAGAAAAACGAGGAGCAAGCGCGAGAUCGAAAGCAGAGCCUCUUUUCUGCAGCCACGUGUGCCAUUAAAAACAAAUCAUUCAAAGUAGUUUUGAACUAUAAAAGCAUAAGAUCUUUCCCCUUCUGUUACUUUAUUUUAUGUUAUUUUGGAAGGGGGUACAGAUCCCGUCUCCCCCUCUCGGGUGACCUCGAAGGACCAGUUUAUUCACUUUUCCCAUGUGUGAGCAUUUGCGCUUUCCGGAAAUCAAUCUGAAGUUUGUUCAACAUUCUAAGCUAAAAUAAAACGGCGCUGCAAAAACCUCCCACGCCCUAAAGACGGAGAAGAGCCCUUUUGUUAAAAAAAAAACGUUCCCAGCUCGUUCUGCUCCCCACGGAGGCCGUCUCUGGAGGGUUUUGCAGUGUCCCAUCCCUGUGGGUGCAGAGAAAUGAGCUUUUCCCCGACGUGCAGAAGGGACGAGGCUGCCGGGGGGACUGCCCGGAGCCCCGAAGGCAUCGAGGUGCUGGGAUCGGACUGCUGGCCCCAGAGAUUUGUCCUCUGGCAGCACUGAGAGCUGGAAAGCGAUGGGGGAGGAUGAGAGUUCUUUCCUCGUCCAGUAUCACCUUUUGGAGCAUCGCUGGGACGCAGCCCGCAGCUCCCUCUCCCUCCCUCCCCUACACGUCGGGUGUCACCUUUAGGUUGGCCUCGGUGACCAAGUUGUACGGGGAAAUUCUCCGCCAUCUCUAUAUUUCCCAGGGUCGGGCUGCGAUAUUUCGGUGCCUUUCGCAGCCCCCGGAUGGAUGCGCUGGGGCUUCGGGCAGAUACCUGGGUCACACAGAGAAGGAAAACUGUUCCCAGCCGUCUCCAAACCCCCUCAGUGGGGCACUAAAAAAAAUAAAUGAAGUUCUUCCCUCCUCCCCUAGAAAAUAGGCAGAUUUUUAAAUUGUUUUUGUACGUGUGUGUCUUUUCGGUGCCGAGAAGUUUGCGCUUUUAAUCUCACUCGGGAGGGAACAAGUGACAGGCAGUUAUUGCGACCGUGACACCCCGAGGGUCCCCUGCUCCGAGCAGCCACCCGCAGCCGCCCAGCUCGGAGCUUCUCCGUCCGGCAGGAGACGAGAGGGGUUAAACAAAAUGGGGAAACGGGAGAAGGAAAAUGAGGAACGGAGAUAGACGGGGAGCAGCACGGCUCUGGGUGCCGUCGCACCGCGAUCACUGCAGGGAGCGAGCCCUGCCCGGCUGGGGGAAUUGGCUGUGGCACGGCGGCAGCUCGGCUUUGGUGACAAACGUGGCGUACAGACAGGACGUGUCCGAUGCCUCCCCUCGCCGGUCAUUUAUCUCCUGCCGGGGGGCGUGCGUGGGGGGUUUAGAUCUCUCUUUAAUUGAAACCUAGUAAGGAAAAUAGUAAUGGAUACCAGGCUCCGAUUGAGAAUACGUGUCCGCGGCUGCAUGAUGAGUGUUAGUUCAGCAGACUUUAAGAAGCCAAUUCUUCUUCUCUGUCAUUUCUCUAUUGACAGUAGUCCCUAUUAGAUUUACCAUGUCCUUUUGCAACAGCUGGUUCCACCCCCCCCUUUCUCCCCCGGGCCGAGGUAUCAAUCGAUCGCCGGGUGGCUCCGUGGCAUCUCGAAGAAAAUGGGAGCGAAGAGUGGCAGCGCCGGUGCCAGAGGCUCCCGGUUUCCCUCCACGCUCUGCUGCAGCCGGCGCCCGCCGGUGCCUCGGAGGUGCCCGGGGGCGGGGGUCGGAGCAGACCCCGGAGGAGGUGGGCAAGGUUCCAGCGCCGGGGCUGGGUUGUUAAAGAACGCGGCCGAUGGUCAAAGCAGAUAAAAUCGGUUUCUCUCGCCGGGUGCCUUGUUCUACUGGGUCUGCAGGGAGCGGGCGGGGGUGGGGGGGAGAAUGCCGCAUCUGGAGAGCUGGAGGGCUCCUUCGGGAAGGCUCGUUCCUCCUCGGGAUUGUUGUUGUGUUGUGUGUGUGUGUUUAAAUAAUUGAAUAAACGUAUCCAGUCGUUCCCCCUUUCUCUCUCGCAUGCAGACACACAAAGACAACAUUGAAAAGAUAGAUCUGUUUGACUGUAGGAAACGACAAUUAGUUCUACUUCCUGAG